AUGCAGAGGCCCAGCAAACUGCCUGCUGCCUCUCUCCCCGGACGCCCUACCUUUUUCGGACCCCAAGGUUGGGCUGACCUCCCAGAUGGCUUGCUUCACUCCAUCGUUGAUCGGCUGGGCUCCUUCCGAGACCUUCUUGGCUUCGCCACCACAUGCCCCUCAUGGCGUUCUGCCUUCUCCUCGUACCCAUCAAAAUCCACGUUCCUCACAAAAUUACCACCUCUCCUCAUCCAGACCCAUAUUCGUGCACAAGGUCCUCUUCUUCCUUGGACCAGUGGUUCUCAUGAGCUAUACCCAUGUAAGGUUGUUGAUCCAGCCAACCGAAACACCGCACUUCGCUGUUGGAUCCCUCAAGAUAUCGUGGAGAAGAUGACAUUUAUUGGAUCCUCCUAUGGUAAGCUCAUCUACUACUGCAAGGGAUACUGUCGCAUCAUCGAUGCGUUCACCGGUGACGAUGUCUCAACUCCAUGUCUCCCAUCCCAUGCUAAAUGUUCAAAACUUCACUUGACUGGCAUUCUAACAGCCCCACUUGCAUCACCCAACUCGCAUCUCCUUGUCAGUACCGAGUCCUCCCUGUUUGAUUUGCCUGUUGGAAACGACUCUUGGUCCGAACUCCAGCUUCCUUGUCAGUUUGUAAUAGACCAUUUUGUGGAGUUCGAUGGUCAGUUCAUUGUCUCGAAUAGCUAUGGCAGAUCCUACGCUCUGCAGCUGGCCCCUCAGCACGGCCUGCAGGAGAUAAAAACCAAGCCUGUGGGAGGAAGGCCGGUGGAAGGAAGGCUGGUGGUUUGUGGUGAUAUGCUUCUCAUUCUCAGUUUGGGCGAGUUCCAGCGCCUCGACAUGUCAACCGAGCCCGCGACACGGGUGACCGUGGAGAAGCUGGGCGAGCGGGCACUCUUUGUAGGGGCGGAAGCGAAGAGCACGGCAGUUUCUUGCAUGAGCCCGGAGCUAUGGGGAGGAAGGAGCGACAUCGUGUACUUUGCUCGUACAGCUCGACCUUGGUUUAUCUAUAGGCUGUGUGGCAGGCCAGAUCGCAUGCAGGAUAGACCAGCACGCGUUGAACCUGCAGGCUUUGGAAGCACCCCAGUGCAGUCAUCAGUUCGGCCGCUCUGGCUGUACCCAAGCAUGUUCUACUCGGAUGGCCAAUGA
rnacentral:rRNA from 1 species